UGUGAAGAUUCGAUGUGUUAUGC
rnacentral:piRNA from 1 species